rnacentral:snoRNA from 14 species
GCCCUGCUUGGUUGAGGUUUCCCAUUGGAUCUCAGAACUGGCUUUGGUGGUGCUACAGAAGGGAGGGCAUAUCACAGCUGGCCUCCCUGUGUCUGCUAUAGAACUUGAAGGCCAGAUCAAACAGGC